AGGCAGUGCAGUGUAGUGCACUGGGAGUGGAGCAGUGCGCUGAGCCUGCCAUGGGCAAAUCAGCCUCCAAGCAGUUUAACGACGAGGUCCUGAAGGCCCACAAUGAGUACUGGAAGCAGCAUGGUGUCCCCCCACUGAAGCUCUGCAAGAAGCUCAACCGGGAGGCUCAGCAGUAUUCAGAGGCCCUGGCCAGCACGAGGAUCCUCAAGCACAGCCCAGAGUCCAGUUGUGGCCAGUGUGGUGAGAACUUGGCAUGGGCAUCCUACGAUCAGACAGGAAAGGAGGUGGCUGAUAGAUGGUACAGUGAAAUCAAGAACUACAACUUUCAGCAGCCUGGCUUCACCUCUGGGACAGGACACUUCACAGCCAUGGUAUGGAAGAAUAUAAAGAAGAUGGGAGUGGGGAAGGCGUCUGCAAGUGACCGGUCCUCUUUUGUGGUGGCCAGAUACUUCCCAACAGGGAAUGUCAUCAACCAGGGCUUCUUUGAGGAAAAUGUCCUGCCUCCAAAGAAGUAAUUUGUCCAGUGGAAUGGGAAGGUGGCAGACUUAAGAACCUGGAUAUGAAGUGCCUAGA